rnacentral:rRNA from 1 species
GAACCAAGCAGCUGUGAAGUCGAAGCUACAGUGGCAGGGCCCGGUGGCAUAUGCUGACGAGUAGGUGGUCCGUUCGGUGAUCUUCCUCAACACGUAGUAUGACUUCAGUGCACACGACACAGUAUAUGCCCCCCUGGAGACCGACAACAGAACAACAGUUCCACAAGCAUGAGCACACUUGAAUUCAGGUGAGAGUGUGACCACUCCCAUUCCUGUCACGUAGAAAGAAGAAAACUCCCGUUUCGUACAGAAAUUCCAUGAGAAGCAAAAUGGCGCCACGUCGUAUUAUUU